AUAUUAAACUUUAGGGUCACGCUGUGUACCCCCUAAUUAACCUACAAUUAUUUUCUGUGGUAGGGUUCACUAUUACCCUGUAAUAUAAUACCUGGUCCAAUUUAAAUAUUAUGGUUCCAUAUUAAAGUCUGAUAUCGCGCCUUGCGUUAGUUAACCAUUGAAAGAUGUCUUUGAAUUUUUAAAGCAUUUUAGAACGCUUAUUUCUUCAUUUUAAGCUUCUCAGAACACUCUAUUUCGCAUAGGCAUACAUAGUAAAUUUUAGGGUCACGCUGUGUACC